UUGUAAGGCUUACUUCAUUUGUUUUGUCUUACAGGGAUCAUUGUCUUUGUUACCUGAAGUCACUUUCUUUUUUUCUGGAGAGUCUUGCUCUGUUGCCCAGGCUGGAGUGCAGUGGCACGAUCUCAGCUCACUACAACCUUCACCUCCUGGGUUGAAGUGAUCCUUCUGCCUCAGCCUCCCGAUCAGCUGGGACUAUGGGUUUGCGCCACUACACCCAGCUAAUUUUUGUAUUUUUAGUAGAUAUGGGGUUUCACCAUGUUGGCCAGGGUAGUCUCAAACUCCUGACCUCAGGUGAUCCGCCUGCCUCGGCCUUCCAAAGUGUACCUGAACUCCACUGUCUUGAAAAUCAUCAUAUAAUGUAUUUUGUCUUUUUUGGUUUUGAUUGUUUCAGACAAGAAGGUAAAUCAGUACCUGUUUCUCCAUCAUGACCAGAAGCAGAUUACAGGAGAGCUUCAGCACUUACCACAGACUGGCUAGAAUGCUCUUCUACCCCCUUUACUUAACUGCUUCCUUCUCAUCCUUUAUUUCUCAGUGUAGCCAUCUUUUCAUCAAGGAAAUCUUCCCUGAGCCCAGUAUACAUCAGAUUGUAUGUACCAUAGAACUGUUUUCUUCCAGUAUCUAUCUGAAUUUGUAAUUUUCACUUUUAUUGUCUUUGUUCUUCACUACACUGAAAGCUAAGCAAGAGCAGAGGUAUUGUCUGUUGUAUCUGCAAAGCUCAGCAGACCACAUGUUAGGAACUUAGUCCAUAUUUGUUAGGUGUAUGGUUGGGUGACUGUUAAAAUGCACAGUCCUUUAUAUGCAAAAAUUACUCAUAUUUUAUUUCCACCUUGUUUUCUCCCUCAUGUAGAGUCUGUUAGCCUAUUAAAAAUGCAAGAUGCAGUUCUUUCAUGGGAACACUUAUUAGAACUUAAGAAUAAUCAUUGUGAACAACUUACAGUAAAUAUUAAACAAAUGGAAAAUAUGGUUGGUGUACUACAAAAGGAGCUAUCUGAAGCAAAAGAAACACAAUUACAGUUAGAGCAUGAAAAAGGUCAAUGGGAACAAGAACAAGAACGCUACAGUUUGAGAAUGACCUUAAAAGAAGAAGAAAAGAGAAGAAAUGCUGAUAUGUUGCCUAAAAAAGAUAGUGAACAGUUAAAAAGAAAAGAAAAGGAAUGCGGGAAAGAAGUUGAAACAACAACUCAAACAGACUCUGAAAUCACUGGUCACAGAAUUGAGGACAUUAGGAAAGAAUUUGGAUCAGGUUGCGCAGAAGUGAAGCGAUAUCCACAAGCAACUUUCUGAAGAGCAGAAUGCCAGAAUAUUACAAGAUGAGAUUCUGACCAGUAAGCAAAAGGAGGUUGAAGGGGCUCAAAAGAAAAUGAAUUCUGAGGUAUUUUCUUUAGUCAUUUUCAAAUAUGUUUUUGUAUGUGUAUAUAUUUGAAAAACCAACUCUAUGUACCUUGGAAAAUAUAAAGGAUUUUUAAAUUUUAUAUAUAUAUAUAUAUACACACACACACAUCCUAUGUGUUUGUGUAUCUAUAUAUAGAAUAUACACGUGUGUGUGUGUGUGUGUGUGUGUGUGUAUGUGUAGGAUAAAGUCAUAUUCUUAAUUCAGCUCCAUUAGUCUGCAGCAGUCAAGUAGUGACAUUCACAAUGGCCUCAAUGCAAAGAAGAAGCAUUUGAUAUUUUUUAUAAGAAUUGAUGAUCUUUCCAUAAUCUCAAAAUUUUUGGUACUAACAACAGACGUUCUAGUUUUCGGACAUUGUUUUAUCUUCUCAAAAUAUUAGUGGAGAAGUCAGUUUAUUAUUUUCACUGAUAGAUAAGGAGGAAAUGUAUAGCCAGUUUAGAGGCCAUAUUGUGGAUGUCAUUCUUCUUACUUUUGAAGAACUUAAAAGUUUUCUCCAAGUAGUAUCUAAUUUCAAUGCAAAGGGCUUUGAAAACAAUGUCGUAGAAUAAUAUACAUUUAGUGAUAAUUUAUUGGUAAGUGUUUUGUU
ensembl:lincRNA